GAACUAUGUCUGGAAGUGGCACACUGCUCAGUAACACGUAGCUAACCUACCCUUAGGACGUGGAUACCCCCGAGAAAUUGGGGUUAAUCCGCGAUAGGUGUAAUGUCCUGGAAUGGUAUUACGCCUAAAGGUGUAUCAUACAUGUUUGAUAUACGCCUAAGGAUGGGGCUGCGGCCGAUCAGGCUGUUGGUGAGGUAAUGGCUCACCAAACCUUUGACCGGUACGGGCCAUGAGAGUGGUAGCCCGGAGAUGGACACUGAGACAAGGGUCCAGGCCCUAAGGGGCGCAGCAACCGCGAAACCUCCACAAUGCACUCACGUGCGAUGGGGCUAUCUCGAGUGCCACCUGAUGAAGGUGGCUUUUCCUAGGUCUUCAAAGCCUUGGGAAUAAGAGGGGGGCAAGACUGGUGUCAGCCGCCGCGGUAAUACCAGCCCCUCGAGUGGUGGGGAUGAUUAUUUGGCCUAAAGCGUCCGUAGCCGGCCGAGCAAGUCUUCCGUUAAAUCCAGCGUCUCAAGCGUUGGACUGCGGGAGAUACUACACGGCUAGAGAGUGGGAGAGGUCAGCGGUAUUCUGGGGGUAGGGGCGAAAUCCUUUGAUCCCCGGAGGACCACCAGUGGCGAAGGCUGCUGACUAGAACACGUCUGACGGUCAGGGACGAAAGCUGGGGUAGCGAACCGGAUUAGAUACCCGGGUAGUCCCAGCCGUAAACGAUGCAUGCUAGGUGUUGGGUUGGCCACGAGCCACCCCAGUGCCGCAGGGAAGCCGUUAAGCAUGCCGCCUGGGAAGUACGAUCGCAAGAUUGAAACUUAAAGGAAUUGGCGGGGGAGCACCACCAGGCGUGAAGCCUGCGGUUUAAUUGGAGUCAACGCCGGA
rnacentral:rRNA from 1 species